AGAGUUUGAUCCUGGCUCAGGAUGAACGCUAGCGGCAGGCUUAAUACAUGCAAGUCGUGGGGCAGCAGGGGUGUAGCAAUACACUCGCUGGCGACCGGCAAACGGGUGCGGAACGCGUACACAACCUUCCUUUAAGCGGGGAAUAGCCCAGAGAAAUUUGGAUUAAUACCCCAUAGUAUAUCGAAUAGGCAUCUUUUUGAUAUUAAAGAUUUAUCACUUGAAGAUGGGUGUGCGGCUGAUUAGAUAGUUGGCGGGGUAAUGGCCCACCAAGUCUACGAUCAGUAGCUGAUGUGAGAGCAUGAUCAGCCACACGGGCACUGAGACACGGGCCCGACUCCUACGGGAGGCAGCAGUAAGGAAUAUUGGUCAAUGGGCGGAAGCCUGAACCAGCCAUGCCGCGUGAAGGAUUAAGGUCCUCUGGAUUGUAAACUUCUUUUAUCUGGGACGAAAAAAGGGAAUUCUUUCUCACUGGACGUACCAGAUGAAUAAGC
rnacentral:rRNA from 1 species